rnacentral:rRNA from 1 species
GAUGAACGCUGGCGGCGUGCCUAAUACAUGCAAGUCGAGCGAAUGGAUUAAGAGCCUGCUCUUAUGAAGUUAGCGGCGGACGGGUGAGUAACACGUGGGUAACCUGCCCAUAAGACUGGGAUAACUCCGGGAAACCGGGGCUAAUACCGGAUAACAUUUUGAACCGCAUGGUUCGAAAUUGAAAGGCGGCUUCGGCUGUCACUUAGGGAUGGACCCGCGUCGCAUUAGCUAGUUGGUGAGGUAACGGCUCACCAAGGCAACGAUGCGUAGCCGACCUGAGAGGGUGAUCGGCCACACUGGGACUGAGACACGGCCCAGACUCCUACGGGAGGCAGCAGUAGGGAAUCUUCCGCAAUGGACGAAAGUCUGACGGAGCAACGCCGCGUGAGUGAUGAAGGCUUUCGGGUCGUAAAGCUCUGUUGUUAGGGAAGAACAAGUGCUAGUUGAAUAAGCUGGCACCUUGACGGUACCUAACCAGAAAGCCACGGCUAACUACGUGCCAGCCGCCGCGGUAA